rnacentral:rRNA from 1 species
AACGAACGCUGGCGGUAGGCCUAACACAUGCAAGUCGAGCGCGCCCUUCGGGGUGAGCGGCGGUCGGGGGAGUAACGCGGGGGAACGUGCCCGUUUCCACGGAAUACCCCUGGUAAACGGAGAGUAAUACCGUAUACGUUCCUCUGGGGAAAGAUUUAUCGGAAAAGGAACGGCCCGCGUUGGUUGAGGUAGUUGGUGGGGUAAUAGCCGACCAAGCCGACGAUCCAUAGCUGGUUUGAGAGGAUGAUCCGCCACUCUGGGACUGAGACACGGCCCAGACUCCUACGGGAGGCAGCCGUGGGGAAUCUUAGACUAUGGCGGCAACCCUGAUCUAGCCAUGCCGCGUGAGUGAUGAAGGCCUUAGGGUUGUAAAGCUCUUUCAGCUGGGAAGAUAAUGACGGUACCAGCAGAAGAAGCCCCGGCUAACUCCGUG